UGAUGGUGACUGUGGGAACAAAAUGGACAUGCCAUUCAGAAGAAUUUUGUGAUCUGAUGGAUUCUGAGGGGAGCCCAGGAGCUUUGGAGAGGCUGACCUACCACACAAGACCAGCGUCUCUCUCCCCCAACUCCCCUGCUCUCAGAAGCUGGCUCUCUGGACUUCACCUCCACCUUCUAUUUGCGGCCGUUGCUCCUGGACUCCAGGUAGG